rnacentral:rRNA from 1 species
CCUACGGGAGGCAGCAGUGGGGAAUAUUGCACAAUGGGGGAAACCCUGAUGCAGCGACGCCGCGUGAGUGAAGAAGUAUUUCGGUAUGUAAAGCCCUAUUAGUAGGGAAGAAAAUGACGGUACCUGACUAAGAAGCACCGGCUAACUACGUGCCAGCAGCCGCGGUAAUACGUAGGGGGCAAGCGUUAUCCGGAUUUACUGGGCUGAAAGGGAGCGUAGGCGGGAGAACAAGUCUGGAGUGAAAUCCCGUGGCUUAACCCCCGAACUGCAUUUGAAACUGUGCAGCUAGAGUGUAGGAGAGGUAAGUGGAAUUCCUAGUGUAGCGGUGAAAUGCGUAGAUAUUAGGAGGAACACUAGUUGCGAAGGCGGCUUACUAGACUGUAACUGACGUUGAUGCUCGAAAGCGUGGGGAGCAAACAGGAUUAGAUACCCUUGUAGUC